GACGAAGGGGGCUAGCGUUGUUCGGAAUUACUGGGCGUAAAGCGCGUGUAGGCGGUUGCCAAAGUCGGGUGUGAAAGCCUUGAGCUCAACUCAAGAAUUGCACUCGAUACUUGGUGACUAGAGGACCGGAGAGGAUAGUGGAAUUCCCAGUGUAGUGGUGAAAUACGUAGAGAUUGGGAAGAACACCAGUGGCGAAGGCGGCUAUCUGGACCGAGACUGACGCUGAGGCGCGAAAGCGUGGGGAGCAAACAGG
rnacentral:rRNA from 1 species